rnacentral:rRNA from 1 species
UGGGGAAUAUUGGGCAAUGGGCGAAAGCCUGACCCAGCGACGCCGCGUGAGGGAAGAAGGUCUUCGGAUUGUAAACCUUUGUAGACAGGGAAGAAGAAAGUGACGGUACCUGUAAAGUAAGCCACGGCUAACUACGUGCCAGCAGCCGCGGUAAUACGUAGGUGGCAAGCGUUAUCCGGAUUUACUGGGUGUAAAGGGUGUGUAGGCGGGAAAGUGGGUCAGAUGUGAAAUACCAAGGCUAAACCAUGGAGCUGCAUUUGAAACUGCUUUUCUUGAGAGUGGGAGGAGGUAA